rnacentral:rRNA from 1 species
UAACGGCCCACCAGCUUCGAUGGAUAGGGGUUCUGAGAGGAAGGUCCCCCACAUUGGAACUGAGACACGGUCCAAACUCCUACGGGAGGCAGCAUG